GGGGCUGAGUAGCAGAAAAGGACAGGAAGCAGUUGCCCAAUGGAGAAACAAAGCUUGUUUAGAUUGCUUAGCUUUUAUGGCAUUUGCUGACAAAACAGACGUGCAGCUGACUGUGCUCUUGAGAGAUGGGGCGGAAUGGAGAAAAGUAACAGCAGAAAUGUUAGGAAUGGAAGUUAAAGGUUGAGAAUUCAAGAGGACUGCAGAUUCACAGUUCCAGGUUUUCGCUUGUAAUGGCCUACAGCACUACUGCAGGCUUCCUGAUGGAGAAACAAAUUUGUGCCAGCUUGCUGAAUAACCUCCGUAAUGUUCAGCCGAUCAGAACUUCUCCAUCUGUGUGUCCAUCCAUCCAAAGAACCAGAUGCUCUGAAAAACACUUCAUCCACCCCUCCUGAUGCAUCCAUAUCUGAAAUAUGUUGCUACCAUAACUGCAGUUUUCAGCCCUACAAGCAAAGCCAGCUACUGACCUAUCUGGAGCUCUCAAUUGUUUAGUCACCUGCUCAG